UUGNUACUUAACCUAGCGGCGGACGGGUGAGUAAUGCUUAGGAAUCUGCCUAUUAGUGGGGGACAACAUCUCGAAAGGGAUGCUAAUACCGCAUACGUCCUACGGGAGAAAGCAGGGGACCUUCGGGCCUUGCGCUAAUAGAUGAGCCUAAGUCGGAUUAGCUAGUUGGUGGGGUAAAGGCCUACCAAGGCGACGAUCUGUAGCGGGUCUGAGAGGAUGAUCCGCCACACUGGGACUGAGACACGGCCCAGACUCCUACGGGAGGCAGCAGUGGGGAAUAUUGGACAAUGGGGGGAACCCUGAUCCAGCCAUGCCGCGUGUGUGAAGAAGGCCUUUUGGUUGUAAAGCACUUUAAGCGAGGAGGAGGCUACCGAGAUUAAUACUCUUGGAUAGUGGACGUUACUCGCAGAAUAAGCACCGGCUAACUCUGUGCCAGCAGCCGCGGUAAUACAGAGGGUGCAAGCGUUAAUCGGAUUUACUGGGCGUAAAGCGCGCGUAGGUGGCCAAUUAAGUCAAAUGUGAAAUCCCCGAGCUUAACUUGGGAAUUGCAUUCGAUACUGGUUGGCUAGAGUAUGGGAGAGGAUGGUAGAAUUCCAGGUGUAGCGGUGAAAUGCGUAGAGAUCUGGAGGAAUACCGAUGGCGAAGGCAGCCAUCUGGCCUAAUACUGACACUGAGGUGCGAAAGCAUGGGGAGCAAACAGGAUUAGAUACCCUGGUAGUCCAUGCCGUAAACGAUGUCUACUAGCCGUUGGGGCCUUUGAGGCUUUAGUGGCGCAGCUAACGCGAUAAGUAGACNGCCUGGGGAGUACGGUCGCAAGACUAAAACUCAAAUGAAUUGACGGGGGCCCGCACNAGCGGUGGAGCAUGUGGUUUAAUUCGAUGCA
rnacentral:rRNA from 1 species